GACGAACGCUGGCGGCGUGCCUAAUACAUGCAAGUCGAACGCUUCUUUCCUCCCGAGUGCUUGCACUCAAUUGGAAAGAGGAGUGGCGGACGGGUGAGUAACACGUGGGUAACCUACCCAUCAGAGGGGGAUAACACUUGGAAACAGGUGCUAAUACCGCAUAACAGUUUAUGCCGCAUGGCAUAAGAGUGAAAGGCGCUUUCGGGUGUCGCUGAUGGAUGGACCCGCGGUGCAUUAGCUAGUUGGUGAGGUAACGGCUCACCAAGGCCACGAUGCAUAGCCGACCUGAGAGGGUGAUCGGCCACACUGGGACUGAGGCACGGCCCAGACUCCUACGGGAGGCAGCAGUAGGGAAUCUUCGGCAAUGGACGAAAGUCUGACCGAGCAACGCCGCGUGAGUGAAGAAGGUUUUCGGAUCGUAAAACUCUGUUGUUAGAGAAGAACAAGGACGUUAGUAACUGAACGUCCCCUGACGGGAUCUAACCAGAAAGCCACGGCUAACUACGU
rnacentral:rRNA from 1 species